AGGCAGCAGUGGGGAAUAUUGCACAAUGGGGGAAACCCUGAUGCAGCAACGCCGCGUGAGUGAAGAAGUAUUUCGGUAUGUAAAGCUCUAUCAGCAGGGAAGAAGGCAGACGGUACCUGACUAAGAAGCCCCGGCUAACUACGUGCC
rnacentral:rRNA from 1 species